rnacentral:rRNA from 1 species
UCCAGACUCCUACGGGAGGCAGCAGUGAGGAAUAUUGGUCAAUGGCCGAGAGGCUGAACCAGCCAUGCCGCGUGCAGGACGACGGCUCUACGAGUUGUAAACUGCUUUUGUACCGGGGUAAAAUGCCUUACGAGUAGGGUUUUGAAAGUACGGUACGAAUAAGGAUCGGCUAACUCCGUGCCAGCAGCCGCGGUAAUACGGAGGAUCCGAGCGUUAUCCGGAUUCAUUGGGUUUAAAGGGUGCGUAGGUUGUUUUAUAAGUUAGCGGUGAAAUACCGAUGCUCAACAUCGGGGCUGCCGCUAAUACUGUAGGACUAGAGAUCGGAUGCAGCAGGCGGAAUGUGUAGUGUAGCGGUGAAAUGCAUAGAUAUCACGCAGAACUCCGAUUGCGAAGGCAGCAUACCGGCGCGCAACUGACGCUCAUGCACGAAAGCGUGGGUAUCGAACAGGAUUAGAUACCCGGGUA